CCGGGGAGCCGGGCAGCCGCGUCAUCACUUCGUCUGAUGCCGAGGAAAGUCCGGGCUCCACGAAACAAGGGUGGCGGGUAACGCCCGCCGGCCCGGUGCAAACCGGGCAAGGGAAAGUGCCACAGAGAGCAAACCGCCGACGGGGCCUUUGGGCCCCGGGCAAGGGUGAAAGGGUGCGGUAAGAGCGCACCGCGCGACCGGCAACGGAAGCGGCAUGGCAAACCCCACCCGGAGCAAGACCGAAUAGGGGCAACGCGCAUCUGAAAAGAUGCAGGCGGGUUUCGCGCCAGUUGCCCGGGUUGGUUGCUGGAGCGGCCUGGCAACAGGCCGCCGAGAGGAAUGGCUGCCCGUGCCGAUACGGUCCACCAGUGGGAUACCGUCGGUGCGACAGAACCCGGCUUACAGGCUUCCCGGCGCG
rnacentral:RNase_P_RNA from 3 species